rnacentral:tRNA from 1 species
GUAGUCGUGGCCGAGUGGUUAAGGCGAUAGACUUGAAAUCUGUUGGGAUAUCCCCGCGCAGGUUCAAAUCCUGCCGACUACU